rnacentral:rRNA from 1 species
GCCGCGGUAAUACCGGCGGCUCGAGUGGUGGCCACUUUAUUGGGCUUAAAGCGUUCGUAGCUGGGUCGUUAAGUCUCUUGGGAAAUCCGGCAGCUUAACUGUCGGGCGUCUAAGAGAUACUGGCGAUCUUGGAACCGGGAGAGGUGAGGGGUACUUCGGGGGUAGGAGUGAAAUCCUGUAAUCCUCGAGGGACCACCUGUGGCGAAGGCGCCUCACCAGAACGGCUUCGACAGUGAGGGACGAAAGCUGGGGGAGCAAACCGGAUUAGAUACCCGGGUAGUCCCAGCCGUAAACGAUGUGCGUUAGGUGUAUCGACGACCACGAGUCGUCGAGGUGCCGAAGGGAAACCGUGAAACGUACCGCCUGGGAAGUACGGUCGCAAGGCUGAAACUUAAAGGAGUUGGCGGGGGAGCACCACAACAGGUGGAGCCUGCCGGUUUAAUUGGACUCAACGCCGGGAAGCUCACCGGAUAAGACAGCUGAAUGAUUGCCGGGCUGAAGACUCUGCAUGACUAGCUGAGAAGAGGUGCAUGG